AACGAACGCUGGCGGCAUGCCUAACACAUGCAAGUCGAACGAGACCUUCGGGUCUAGUGGCGCACGGGUGCGUAACGCGUCGGAACCUGCCCUUAGGUUCGGAAUAACUCCCCGAAAGGGGUGCUAAUACCGGAUAAUGUCCUCGAACCAAAGAUUCAUCGCCUUUGGAUGGGCCCGCGUUGGAUUAGCUAGUUGGUAGGGUAAAAGCCUACCAAGGCGACGAUCCAUAGCUGGUCUGAGAGGAUGAUCAGCCACACUGGGACUGAGACACGGCCCAGACUCCUACGGGAGGCAGCAGUGGGGAAUAUUGGACAAUGGGCGAAAGCCUGAUCCAGCAAUGCCGCGUGAGUGAUGAAGGCCUUAGGGUUGUAAAGCUCUUUUACCCGGGAUGAUAAUGACAGUACCGGGAGAAUAAGCUCCGGCUAACUCCGUG
rnacentral:rRNA from 1 species